UACGGGAGGCAGCAGUGGGGGAUAUUGCACAAUGGGCGCAAGCCUGAUGCAGCAACGCCGCGUGCGGGAAGACGGCCUUCGGGUUGUAAACCGCUGUCCUUGGGGAAGAAACAAAUGACGGUACCCAAGAAGGAAGCCACGGCUAACUACGUGCCAGCAGCCGCGGUAAU
rnacentral:rRNA from 1 species